UCCUGACUGACCGAUAGUGAACCAGUACCGUGAGGGAAAGGCGAAAAGAACCCCGGCGAGGGGAGUGAAAAAGAACCUGAAACCGUGUACGUACAAGCAGUGGGAGCACGCUUAGGCGUGUGACUGCGUACCUUUUGUAUAAUGGGUCAGCGACUUAUAUUCUGUAGCAAGGUUAACCGAAUAGGGGAGCCGAAGGGAAACCGAGUCUUAACUGGGCGUUAAGUUGCAGGGUAUAGACCCGAAACCCGGUGAUCUAGCCAUGGGCAGGUUGAAGGUUGGGUAACACUAACUGGAGGACCGAACCGACUAAUGUUGAAAAAUUAGCGGAUGACUUGUGGCUGGGGGUGAAAGGCCAAUCAAACCGGGAGAUAGCUGGUUCUCCCCGAAAGCUAUUUAGGUAGCGCCUCGUGAAUUCAUCUCCGGGGGUAGAGCACUGUUUCGGCAAGGGGGUCAUCCCGACUUACCAACCCGAUGCAAACUGCGAAUACCGGAGAAUGUUAUCACGGG
rnacentral:rRNA from 1 species